rnacentral:lncRNA from 1 species
AUCUCCUGUGAUCCCACGGAGCUGCAGUCAGAAGGGAGCAAUGACAAGAAAUAAGUGCUGAGCAGUUGUCAUAUGGUGCUGGAAGACAUGCUACUUUUCCCUGAGGGCGGAAGACAGCCUGAUGACGGUGGUACAAUCAAUGACAUCUCUGUGCUGGGAGUGACCUGCUUGGGGGCCCAGGCUGAUCAUUUCACACAGACACCCCUGGAUCCUGGAAGCCAAGUCCUGGUCUGGGUAGACUGGGAGUGGAGGUUUGACCACAUGCAGCAGCAUUAAAGGCAGCAUCUCAUCACAGCAGUUGCUGAUUAUCUGUUUGAGUUAAAGACAACAUCAUGGGAGUUAGGGAAAUUUCGGAGUGUGAUGCUGGAAAGCCCCUCUGUGAAUGCAGAGAAAAUAACCGCCACUGAAAAGAGUGUCAAUAAAAAUAUCAGAGAUCAGCUGCUCAACAAAGUAUGAGAACUGAGCCUGAAUGAUCCUGAGGCGGAGCAGGUGAGAGGCUGGGGCCUGCCAGAUGAUCAUGCUGGGCCCAUUGGAAUUGUUACCAUCAAGGGUGUUGAUUCCAACAUGUGCUGUGGGAUCCCCAUGAGCAAUCUCCGUGACUUUCCAGUCAUUAAGAUUAGGCACCGAGAAGAGGAAAAGGAAUAAAAUCAAACUGAUAUUUCUGGCUGGGAACCAGAUGCUGAAAUGGAUGAAGAGAAGUCAUGAAACUGAAAGAGCACUGAAUCACUCUGCUUAAGUGUGGAGCAGAGGAUCACAUGGAAGCAGUGAAAAAGCUCCAGAAUUCCACCAAGCUCCUGCAGAAGAACAACCUGAAUCUGCUCAGAGACUCAGCUGUGCACAUUGCCCAUAGCCUCAGGACCAACCCAGACUCGGGGGAUGUGGUCAUAUUACACAGGAAGGAGGGUGAUUCAUAGUUCAUGAAUAUUGUUGCCAAUGAGAUUGGGUCAGAGGAUUCCUUCCUGUUCUUAAACAUGGGUGAUGAGAAAGGUGCUGGGCUCUUUUUACUGGCAGGGCCACCUGAGACCAUGGAGACCCUGGGGCCCAGGGUGGAUGAGGUCCUAGAAGGCAAAGGAGCAGGGAAGAAAGGCUGCUUUCAGGGCAAAGUCACCAACAUGAGCCAACAGGCAGAGGUGCUAUCACUUCUCCAGAACUACAUCAGCACACAGAGUGCUAGGAAGUGAG